GACGUUGGGUUGGGGGUAGGUUUAUGACAGUCAUAAAUACCUCUUUCCCCCUUUUUCUCUCUCCCUAUUAUAACUGAUGUGACAUAAGGAAACCCAUGGGUUAACAUAGAGAUUCUGGGUAACAUCAGAAGUUGGGGGAAAUGAACUAUAUUCUGGUAACCCGACCAACUGAACAUAUGCGGUGGUACUUAAGGUAUAUUAUGUCAGUUCGGUUGCCCUCUGACACAUUCUCAUCAAGGAUUGAAUGACAUAAACUCUACUGUGGAAAGUCUAAAUGUCAGAGAUAUCGGAUUCACAUGGAAUUGUUGUUUAAUUCAAAUGUUUGAAUAUGACAUUAUUUGUGAAGAGAUGAAAUGUAAUUUUAGCUUCCAAAGGAGAGAUCUGUGCUUUCAUAAGUUUCUCUGCUCACAGUGGUCCGCCCCUGUGAAGAGGAAUGGGUUAUAAACCUUUCAGACACACCCCUCUCCCUCCACUAUAAAAGCCAUUGAACCAGAAUAUAACUUGCUGUUCCGGGUAUGCUAGGAUGACGAUCCAGUGUCAGAAUGGUUCAGAUAAUCACUAUAGAUGAAGCCAACAUCAGCAUGGACUUUGAUUGUGAAUGAGACAUUCUUCAAAGGACAGAGGACUCGGGUGAUGACACGGGCCAUCUACCACCAACCUACUGAAGCGCAGCUCAGAGUAAAUAUUGAUUGCAUUUUCCUCUUCAAAUGGGCGGUAAUUUAGAAUGCAUAAGAUACUGUAUUUACGAUAGCACAGCUCGCCUAUGUCAAGUCUCCCGCUCUUUCACUAGGACUCCCCCCCUUUCCUUUGUGUAACAAGCUGUCAUAUCGAUUCUGCCCGCUAGGGACGUUUUUCUGUAUGACGUAAUUUGUGAUCAAGUUAUGAUUUAAUUGUGUAUGUGUGUUUCUGUGUGAUUAGUUAGGUAUUUAGUAAAUAAAUAAUUAAACCCAA